rnacentral:rRNA from 1 species
UGGGGAAUAUUGGACAAUGGGCGCAAGCCUGAUCCAGCCAUGCCGCGUGAGUGAUGAAGGCCCUAGGGUUGUAAAGCUCUUUCACCGGUGAAGAUAAUGACGGUAACCGGAGAAGAAGCCCCGGCUAACUUCGUGCCAGCAGCCGCGGUAAUACGAAGGGGGCUAGCGUUGUUCGGAUUUACUGGGCGUAAAGCGCACGUAGGCGGACUAUUAAGUCAGGGGUGAAAUCCCGGGGCUCAACCCCGGAACUGCCUUUGAUACUGGUAGUCUUGAGUUCGAGAGGGGUGAGUGGAAUUCCGAGUGUAGAGGUGAAAUUCGUAGAUAUUCGGAGGAACACCAGUGGCGAAGGCGGAUCACUGGCUCGAUACUGACGCUGAGGUGCGAAAGCGUGGGGAGCAAACAGG